rnacentral:rRNA from 2 species
UGGGGAAUAUUGGGCAAUGGGCGAAAGCCUGACCCAGCGACGCCGCGUGAGGGAAGAAGGUCUUCGGAUUGUAAACCUUUGUCAACAGGAACGAAGAAAUGACGGUACCUGUGGAGGAAGCCACGGCUAACUACGUGCCAGCAGCCGCGGUAAUACGUAGGUGGCGAGCGUUAUCCGGAUUUACUGGGUGUAAAGGGUGUGUAGGCGGAGCGACAAGUCAGAUGUGAAAACUAUGGGCCUAACCCAUAGCCUGCAUUUGAAACUGUUGCCCUUGAGAGUGGGAGAGGUAAAUAGAAUUCCCGGUGUAGCGGUGAAAUGCGUAGAUAUCGGGAGGAAUACCGGUGGCGAAGGCGAUUUACUGGCCCAUUACUGACGCUGAGACACGAAAGCGUGGGGAGCAAACAGG